rnacentral:rRNA from 1 species
AUUGAACGCUGGCGGCAUGCCUUACACAUGCAAGUCGAACGGCAGCACGGGAGCAAUCCUGGUGGCGAGUGGCGAACGGGUGAGUAAAGUAUCGGAACGUGCCCAGUCGUGGGGGAUAACGUAGCGAAAGUUACGCUAAUACCGCAUACGAUCUAUGGAUGAAAGCGGGGGAUCGCAAGACCUCGCGCGAUUGGAGCGGCCGAUAUCAGAUUAGGUAGUUGGUGGGGGAAAGGCUCACCAAGCCGACGAUCUGUAGCUGGUCUGAGAGGACGACCAGCCACACUGGGACGGAGACACGGCCCAGACUCCUACGGGAGGCAGCAGUGGGGAAUUUUGGACAAUGGGCGCAAGCCUGAUCCAGCCAUGCCGCGUGCAGGAUGAAGGCCUUCGGGUUGUAAACUGCUUUUGUACGGAACGAAAAGGUUUGACUUAAUACGUUGGACUCAUGACGGUACCGUAAGAAUAAGCACCGGCUAACUACGUGCCAGCAGCCGCCGCCG